rnacentral:lncRNA from 1 species
ACAAGGCCGUUGACAUGUCAUAGCUAAAGCUAUACACAGGACACUGUCUGCAAAACCUCUAAGAAAACAUGACCAUAACAUAUAAGUUGGGACAGGGUCCCUAACAUCCUUAUAAAACAAAGUAACAUAUAUAGAACGUGACUUGACAAUACUCUAGGAAGAUGUGGAGCUCACCAACCAAAAGCUGAUAUCUGGAGGCAGCCUACAAUGGAUGAUCCUCACCUUGCCUAUCUACACCUGCGUGGCAUGAAGCACAGUGCCCCAGAAAAAAAAAGGCGUUAGUACGAAGAAUGUACCGAGUAUGUAAGGCAGCAAUGAAAUGUAAUAAUAAUAAGAUAUUAUCUCGGGGGAGAGAUAAGAGUCAACUUAUAACUUCUGACUUGUCGCUGAGGGCCGUAACAUAUAGAAUAAAAUCCAUAUCGUAUAUAUAAAUAAAGUUACAAUACAAUAGUUCUAGUUACCUCAUUUUUGUAACGUUAACUGCCCAACUGAUCAGUGGUAACUGCCCGAUUGACCGUAGCUCGGUGGUAAAUGCAUAACUGCCCAAGCGAUGAUAAAUAAAUAAUAAUACAUAACUAUCCAACCGGUGGUAACUGCCCGACCAGCCGUAGCUCGGUGGUAGAUGUAUAACUGCCCAAUCGGUCGUAGCUCGGUGGUAAAUAUUACAACGUCACCACUAGUUACAUAUAUAAAUACAAUAUCUGAAGAGCCUUUUAGGAUAAUUAGAAUAUCUUUCAAAGUGACUUAUAGUCGUUUACUCCCGACAUGUACCACUAAUUAUGAAAAAUAGUAAAUACCCGAUAGAAUAAUCGCAAGUUGACCCUAACACCACCAUUUUAAAAAACAAUAUGGCAGCAUUGUUGCAUCAUUUGGCAUGCAACAUUUGGUGUAGGUUUCUAUUUGGACAUAAAUAUAUUCCUCAAUUGAAAACUAACUAUCAGAUUAUUUAUUUUGAUUACUUGUUAAGGAAAGAACACCGUAUUUGGAAAUAGAAGUUAUCCGAUCCUUAAAACAAAAAUUAAGAAACCAACAUUCUUGCAUCUAUAAUAACAACUAAUGGAUUAAGAAUAUCAUAGAAGUUAGCACUAUAUAUAUAUAUAUGAACUAACAUCAUCCACAUGCGGUCAAUAAGAAUCAAGCAUCAGUGCCAUGAGUAAGAGUUUACAUUAUAAAAGACAAUGAACAAAAGCUUUCUGUAUUUACUAGGAAUAAUAUCAUGUUUUAGUAUUGAGUUUGUUUACACGCCAUAGUUGGAGUCAUGCCAAAAGGAAAAAGGAUAGAUUUAACAUACCUGGAGUAGGAAAAACUCCGUAUAAUACUUUUGGAGAAGAUUUCACCGUACUUCUAUAUAACCGCAAAAAUUGGAUGGACUUUUAGCUUCUGUCCUUGUAGUAUUGAACUAGGAAAGACAUAUGUUUCUUGAUUUUGAAUUAAGAACAAAAUAUGGACUUUAACUUCUGGUCUUAGAAGCAACUGGAACUUGGAAAAUGAUAUUGCAUUAGGAACAUUUUUCCUUCUUUUGUCCAAAUGAAAGAAUGAGAUAACACUUAUCAUAAGUCUUUACUUAUUAAUUCCAAAUAAAUCCUAGAUAGACACCUAAGACUAUAUGACUACUUAGUCAUUCUCUAGAUUUGUGGCUUUUUGCCAAGUUUUUGGGGGUGUAUUUUAUUAAUUUUUAUCCAUUUAUUAGUUAACUGGGUAAUGUCCCGUUACCCGGUAAUUAACCAAUUACUCGCAUAAUUUAAAAAUUACUUCAAAUUACUUAAAAUUAUACUUAUUUUUAAUAUACUUUAUACAUCAUACUAUCACGUCCAUAUGGUACCUUGUAUGAUACUAGUCCAUAAUUAUCGGGUAUUAUCGCUCGACCCGUAUUUUAUCCCAAAUUGGCCACUUUCAACGAAACUCGUUUUCUUUAAUUUGUGUACCCUUUAUCCUUCUUGACACUUACUUAUUGCUUGUUAUAAUUAGCAUAAAUACGUUAACCUCAAGAUAAUCUCAUCCCCGAGUCUACGUCAAUUAACGGAAGACGAAACUUUAACGUACGAAAAUGCGAGAUGUAACAUCCUUCCCCCUAGAAAUAUUCGUCCUCGAAUGUUUAAACUUGCAAGAUGUACAUACAUAUCCAUCUAUUAUAAAUGUAUAUAUCUUCCCGGGCUAAACUCCAAUGAAACAAAUAGCAAGCUCUCACGGGGUCAGGACGUCGUCCCUCCCUAAAACUACUUCCUAAUCAAUUCGUCACCUAUGAUUCUGUUAAUAUAUCUUCUAGGUGCUGUCACCUAUUAGUUGUAAUCUUAAUAACUGGGUUCAUGCUUUCCUUUCAAAGCUAGCCUUGGUUUCCCUUAACCCUUCUGGCGCAAUGCCAACUUACUCUUACAUUAAUCAUAUUAAAUGGACAAUUUGCGUUAAUAAGAUCGAACAUUACCAAUAAUCACAAUACCUGACACAUCAUCCGGUGUAGCCUCUGGGUCCUGACAACCUGCCAAAGCAUAUAUGCGGUUCUGACUACCGUCAGAGCUAGAUGCUCCAUCCCUGACUCUACCUCUACCAGUUGAUGCCCGAUGGCCUCUCUCUUGAGAAGAGGAGGAUACUGUAUAGAUCUGGUGGGCUGAACCAUCCCGCUUAUGUUAUUCAUAGCGCAAUCCCCCAUGUAAUGACUAGGGUCUCCACAUGUAUAACAUAUAUUAGAUCCCUGACGACAUUGUCCAGAAUGAGCUCUACUGCAUUGACUGCACCGUGGAGGAGGCGCCCUCAUCUACGCUGAAUCCCUCCGAUUCUAAAAACCCAAAAUUCUCGAGCCCUGACCUGAUUCAGAAUAGACAGAUCCCUCAUAAUACGACUUCUGCAGUUGUCAGAUACUUUCAAUAGGAUAUGGUGACAUAGGAUCGCCCGAAAAAUCCUCAGGUCGCCUAGCAGACCUGGCCUUCUUACGCUGACCCUCAUCACGAUUCUCGUAUUGUUGUCAUUAUCAGUCCUCCAAAUUUUGAGCAUAAGCCUGGAUGCCAGAAAUAUCCAUACCAUCGAGCAGAGCGGCUGUGGAGCAUUCAUUAAUCAGGUGCGGCCCAAGUCCUAUGACAAACCGAUACACUUGAUCACUCAUUUCAGCCACAAUCUAGGGGGCAUACCUUGCCAAGGAAUCAAACUGGAGACUAUACUCUUGCACACUCAUAUUCCCCUAUUUAAGAGACAAGAACCUGUCUACCCUUGCUUGAUGAAUCUCUAUUGGCAAGUAAUGACACAAGAAAUCCCCUGAGAACUCUUCCCAUAGUGCUGGAGAUGCAUUUGUCCCUCUAGACAAUUCCCAAGUUUCUUACCACUGAACCACAACAUCUCGCAAUAGGUAUGAGGCCAACUCUACUAACUCAGUGUCCGAUGCAUGCAUUACCCUCAAAGUCCUCUGCAUCCUAUCAAUAAAGUUUUGCGGGUCCUCAUCCUUAUUGGAUCCAGUAAACUCUGGAGGGUCCAGGUUGAUAAAGACUCAAACUCUCGCGCUAAUAACCCUGUUAACGUGACCAACAUUUGUACCUACCUAGUGCUGAGCCUGAGUGGCUACCAACCUAGUCAACAACUGUACUGCACUCCGCAUAUCCAUAUCCUCAUCCAGAACAAUAGGUGGAGGUACUGGGUUCCUCAUCAUCUCCUCGGGUGUUGACAAAAUCGGAGAACUAUGCGAGGGUGUCAUAUUUCCCCUCAGGGCCUCACUUUGGACCUCACUAGACAUUGGUACUCUACUCAUGCCCUCAUAUGCCACUACUUUACCCUUUUGACUAGCCGUAGCGUUCCAAGUCAUAGACAUUGCUGCAUAUAUAAAACAAGUCAAAGAUCAAGGGCUUUGUUCCCUAUAACUUUGCUCUAUUACACGAUCUAAUAUCAAGAAGAAAGGGUAGCCGGUCCCUAAAUGCCCUGUAGUUUCUUGCUUAUAUAACGUGGUGGACAACACAUUUAUAAACAAGACUUUACUAGACACGGCUUGCAGACAACCCUAGGACAGAACUACUCUGAUACCACUUUAUCAUGACCCAUAUCAGAGGGCCAUGACUGGCACCUGGUGCCUAUUCAACCGAGUGCCACGUGUCACACCUCCUUUUUACUACUCCGGAAGGGUAUAAGGGAGUUUUUCCAAUUUAAGUGACAAUCAAAAUGGGAUUAUUUAUAUUAAUCAGAGUCUCCACUUGGGAUAAUUAUGGUGUCCCAAGUCACCGGUUUAAAAUCCCGAAUCGAGGAAUUUUGACUCAUUUUUACAGUCCACAAAACACAGAAAUCCGGCUAAGGACUUCUGUUAAUUCAGGAGAAGGUGUUAGGCAUUCCCGAGUUCCGUGGUUUUAGCACGGUCGCUUUAAUCAUACUUGGCUUAAUUAAAUUGUCUAAUUACAUGUUUAAGAACAUAUGUACAUUUUUACCUUUUACCACUUUUAAUUAAGAAUUUAUCCUAAAGCAAGUCACACGUACGUGUACUCAUUCCAUUUUGCAUAUAAAAAAUCAUGUCACACGUACGUGUCCACAAUUAAUAAUGCUUUAUUAUUAUUAAGCAAUUUUGGUCAAAGUUGUGCGAACACAUACUCCGGGUUUGUUUUUAGAUAGAUUAAGUCUCACCUAAAACAUUUUCUACGAAUAUUCAUUUUUUUUAAAAACGUACUCGUGUUACGCGAAUGUGUACACAACUAAUAACAUUUUAUUAUUAUUAAGAUUAUUUGACCAAAGUCACGCGAACGUGUACCUUGAUUUUGGUCAUGUAACUUGUCAUGUAUCAAUCACAAAGGAAUGAAACCAAACAUAUAACCGCAAAGCCUUAAAUAUGUCAUACAAAUUCAAAGCUACUAGUAGAAAGAAAUGAACCAUAUAUGUUCCUAUGCAUAGAUUUAAUAAUUUAUACUUCAAGUGGCAAAGCCAAGAAACAGGGUUGGAGAUCACAAAAUGCAAACAGUUAAUUAGAUUCAUAAAAUGUUUAUGACCUUUUUAAAAAGUUUAUCUAUUUUUAUGUAUUUUAAUUAGACUCAACAAAUUAGUCUUGGGUUUUUAAAAGAAAAUAACACUGUAGGCUGUAGCAAUCCUCUUGAUUAAGACAGUGUUAGAACACGCACAACACUCUUUUAUUCGAAUAGUGAAAGGAAGAACAGAGAACAAAGCUCAUAGUUACUAGUAAACACAUGUUUCAAAUGCAUUGCAUCAAUUAAUAUCAACUCAUGAAAUCUAGCAAUUCCAAUUAUGUAACUCAAAUGUUAAUGUAGAGAUCUGGUGUGUACCUAGUAUUCAAAAGCCAACUUGAGAAGCCACAUAAAGGCUAAGAGAAACAACCAUGAAUUUGAUGUCACCGUUGAUAAGCAACCACAACAGUAAUUUUUGCUUUUGAAGAAACUUUCGAUUAACGAAAAAGUACAGCAGCUACAAUAGAUGGAAAGCGCAGCUAUGAGUGAAACUCGAAUAGCGACCGAACUCGAAUGACAACAGUAAAGAACUAGAUCCACGUUUUCAUUCCCAAAAUCCCAGUAAAGGAGAUCGAACCCAAACCAAAAUAGAGAACCAUAACUAAAGCUAACGAAUGGAAAGUCUGACGAACUCGAACUCGAUGGCAAUCGAACCCAACUUCAGCGACUCGAACCACGACCAAAUAGCUGCUCGUACUUGAAUAGUUUGAGAGCUAUUUACGAGGUGUGGCUGCUGCUGUAUGCGUUUGAGCAGAAAUGAAAAAGGGGGUCAGUAUCCACUGGCUUCUGUCCAGUGGUCGUUUUUGGUGUUCGAUUUUCUGAAGAAGAAGGGGUAACGGUUAUGGGGGCUAUUUUUUGGAGUUGCCGCUGGUUGGGGUGUGGUGGCAACGGACUGGUUGUUGAAGAAAUGUGGGGUGAGAUGAAGAAGAAGAUGUCCAGGGGGUUCUCGAUAGGGGUCCCUUAACGCUGAAGAAGAUGAAGAACGGGGGGGGGGAUCUCUUAUGUGUUAAACGACGGAUGUUCAGGGUCUUAGGUUGAAGAUGGGUCGUUUGGGGUGGAGUGAAGAAGAUGAAUUUCAGGCUGGGGGGGGG